CUAUUUCUAGUUAAUCACUAAAGGGAUGUUUUGUUGUUUAGUCACUAAGUCGUGUCCAACUCUUUCACAGUCCUAUGGGCUGUAGCCCUCCAGGUUCCUCUGUCCAUGGGAUUUUUCAGGUGAGAAUAUUGGUGUGGGUUGCCAUUUCCUUCUCCAGGGGAUCUUCCUGACCCAGGAAAUGAACCCCCGUCUCCUACAUUGGCAGACAGAUUCUUUACCACUGAGCCACCAGAAAUCCUAAAGGGAUGUUACCUAUACACUUAAAUCAUGCAUAAUAGCCUGUAGCUCUGGGAGGCCUGCCUCACAGGUAAUGAACAUUAAGUUAAAAUAAACUUGUUAAGCUCACAAGAAUCAUCCUGACCAGGCCCACCUGUGAAUGGUUGCAGGCAAGAAGAAAUUAACACAUCCCUUUCCGGAGUCUGGCUGGAACCAGAACUUUAGCCCCUCCUCUUUCAGUGUAAAAGAAGCCUGAUUCCUAACUCCGGAAACAUGGUUCUUUGGGACACUAGAGCGUCAUCUUCUGGGUCUGCUGGCUUUCCAAAUCAAGUUGCAAUUCCUUGUCCCAACAACUCAUCUCUUGAUUUAUUGGUCCAUUGUGCAGUGACCAGUAUCAGAUCAGACCAGUAUAAGCUUGGACUCAGUAAAAAACUUUAGUAGAGCCAGCCAGGAGACUAACUGCUUGUGGACAGCCAACCCUGGUUAGGGAAUUUUCCAGUAAGGCCCUAGCAGCUGCUGGGACCACUUGUCUUGAGGAUCUGCCCUUCAGAAUUUCCUAAAGCAGCACUGGCUGCCUCAGUACAUGGCAGCUGGAAUAAGGGAUCAGCAUUUGGUAGUCGACGGGCUCAAUGCAAUAGGAACCAGGGUGGCCUGGCACAGAUGCACUGAUGAGGGAUGCACUAAAAGCAGCUACAAGUGGCUGCAUCAGGAAGGAUCAAGGGCAGGCUGCAGCAACGGGCCAACACAAGGACGUCAUCUCACCAAGGGCUGCGUUUGAGGUAGGGCUACUCAAAUUAGGUGAAAGCCCUAAGAAUUGCCUGGUCUCUGGAGCAGCGUCAGCAAGGGACAGCUUCGUGCUGGGCAGGCUGACCAGGUGCUGGAAAGGUACAAGGCUUGGCAAUGAGACCUUAGCAACUGUGAGGAAAACUGAAGCUUGGGCUUGCACAUUGGUGCUUGCCUUCUCUCUUGCUGCUUUUGGAACCCAUCUACCAAACAAAGCCCAGGCUAGCCUUCUGGAGGCUAGCCCGGUCGACAGCCAACACCAACAUGAGGGAAGUCCUCUCAGACCAUCCCAUUUACAGAACGUUGCCACCACAGGAAUGCAGCUGCAUGAAGUGAUCCCCAGGCAAAACCAACAUGGAACCACCCACCUGCGCCCAGCCUAAUUCACUGACCCAUAGAAUCAUGGGUAAUUAAAA
ensembl:lncRNA